UAGAGUUUGAUCCUGGCUCAGGAUGAACGCUGGCGGCGUGCCUAAUACAUGCAAGUCGAGCGGGAAAUCAUCCUUCGGGAUGAGGAUCCAGCGGCGAACGGGUGAGUAACACGUGGGCAACCUGCCCGCAAGACCGGGAUAACUCCGGGAAACCGGGGCUAAUACCGGAUAGUCCUUUUCCCCGCAUGGGGAAAAGGGGAAAGGCGGCUUCGGCUGUCACUUGCGGAUGGGCCCGCGGCGCAUUAGCUGGUUGGUGAGGUAACGGCUCACCAAGGCGACGAUGCGUAGCCGACCUGAGAGGGUGAUCGGCCACACUGGGACUGAGACACGGCCCAGACUCCUACGGGAGGCAGCAGUAGGGAAUUUUCCGCAAUGGGCGAAAGCCUGACGGAGCAACGCCGCGUGAGUGAGGACGGCCUUCGGGUUGUAAAACUCUGUUCUUGAGGAAGAAUUCCUUCCAGGCGAACAGCCUGGAAGGUUGACGGUACUCAAGGAGAAAGCCCCGGCUAACUACGUGCCAGCAGCCGCGGUAAUACGUAGGGGGCGAGCGUUAUCCGGAAUUAUUUGGGCGUAAAG
rnacentral:rRNA from 1 species